UACGGGGGGGGCAAGCGUUGUUCGGAAUUACUGGGCGUAAAGGGCUCGUAGGUGGCCAACUAAGUCAGACGUGAAAUCCCUCGGCUUAACCGGGGAACUGCGUCUGAUACUGGAUGGCUUGAGGUUGGGAGAGGGAUGCGGAAUUCCAGGUGUAGCGGUGAAAUGCGCAGAUAUCAGGAGGAACACCAAUGGCGAAGGCAGCUCGCUGGGACGUGACUGACGCUGGAGACGCGAAAGCGUGGGGAGCAAACAGG
rnacentral:rRNA from 1 species